AGCAGCCGCGGUAAUUCCAGCUCCAAUAGCGUAUAUUAAAGUUGUUGCAGUUAAAAAGCUCGUAGUUGAAUUUCGGGGUCAGCAGGUCGGUCGUGCCACUGGUAUGUACUGGUCUUGCUGACUCCUCCCUCUUGACGAACCGUAAUGCCAUUAAAUUUGGUGUUGCGGGAAAUCAGGACUGUUACUUUGAAAAAUUAGAGUGUUUAAAGCAGGCUUACGCUUGAAUACAUUAGCAUGGAAUAAUGAAAUAAGACGUUCGAUCCUAUUUUGUUGGUUUCUAGGAUUGACGUAAUGAUUAAUAGGGAUAGUUGGGGGCAUUAGUAUUCAAUUGUCAGAGGUGAAAUUC
rnacentral:rRNA from 1 species